rnacentral:rRNA from 1 species
AAGGGGGGCCCGGAACGUGACCCCACUUGCUGGGUGAGCGGGAAGGGCCGCAGAGACCAGGGGAAAGCGACUGUUUACUAAAAACACAGGUCCGUGCGAAGUUGCAAGACGAUGUAUACGGACUGACUCCUGCCCGGUGCUGGAAGGKUAAGAGGACGGGUUAGACGCAAGUCGAAGCUCAGAAUUUAAGCCCCAGUAAACGGCGGUGGUAACUAUAACCAUCCUAAGGUAGCGAAAUUCCUUGUCGGGUAAGUUCCGACCUGCACGAAUGGAGUAACGACUUUCCUACUGUCUCAACCAUGGACUCGGCGAAAUUGCACUACGAGUAAAGAUGCUCGUUACGCGCGGCAGGACGGAAAGACCCCGGGACCUUUACUAUAGUUUGGCAUUGGUGUUUGGUUCGGCUUGUGUAGGAUAGGUGGGAGACUGUGAAGCCUCGACGCCAGUUGGGGUGGAGUCAUCGUUGAAAUACCACUCUGGUCGUACUAGAUGUCUAACCUAGGGCCAUGAUCUGGUUCAGGGACAGUGCCUGAUGGGUAGUUUAACUGGGGCGGUUGCCUCCCAAAAUGUAACGGAGGCGCUCAAAGGUUCCCUCAGCCUGGUUGGCAAUCAGGUUUCGAGUGUAAGUGCACAAGGGAGCUUGACUGUGAGACAGACAUGUCGAGCAGGGACGAAAGUCGGAACUAGUGAUCCGGCGACUCCGAGUGGAAGGGUCGUCGCUCAACGGAUAAAAGGUACCCCGGGGAUAACAGGCUGAUCUUCCCCAAGAGUCCAUAUCGACGGGAUGGUUUGGCACCUCGAUGUCGGCUCGUCGCAUCCUGGGGCUGGAGUAGGUCCCAAGGGUUGGGCUGUUCGCCCAUUAAAGCGGCACGCGAGCUGGGUUUAGAACGUCGUGAGACAGUUCGGUCCCUAUCCGCCGCGCGCGUAGGAAACUUGAGAAAGGCUGUCCCUAGUACGAGAGGACCGGGAUGGACGAACCUCUGGUGUGCCAGUUGUACCGCCAGGUGCAGGGCUGGUUGGCUACGUUCGGAAGUGAUAACCGCUGAACGCAUCUAAGCGGGAAGCACGUUUCAAGAUGAGGUUUCCCACCCCUUGUGGGUUAAGGCCCCCAGCAGAACACUGGGUUGAUAGGCCGGAGGUGUACAGCAGCAAUGCCCAGCCGACCGGUACUAAUAGGCCGAAGACUUGCCAC